CCCUUAGAUGUUCUGGGCCGCACGCGCGCUACACUGACGAUGGCAACGAGUUUUUCCUUCGCCGAAAGGUGUGGGUAAUCUUUUGAAACAUCGUCGUGCUGGGGAUAGAUCAUUGCAAUUUUUGAUCUUGAACGAGGAAUUCCUAGUAAGCGCGAGUCAUCAGCUCGCGUUGAUUACGUCCCUGCCCUUUGUACACACCGCCCGUCGCUACUACCGAUUGAAUGGUUUAGUGAGGACUCCUGAUUGGCGCCGCCGCCCCGGCAACGGAGCAGCGGACUGCCGAAAAGUUGUUCAAACUUGAUCAUUUAGAGGAAGUAAAUGUCGUAACA
rnacentral:rRNA from 1 species